AUGCGCUGGCGGAGCCGUUCAGGACAAAAUGGCUUCGCUGUGAUCAGGUCCAACAACUACAGGCUGGCAGCAGCCGGUGCAAAUGUACCGCAGCACACAGAGGUAAACGCUGCCGGACAGUCCCACGGUCAGAGCCAGCAGGAUCAGACUCAGGUACGAUGGCCCAGGUUGGUAUGCAAAUUCGGUGAGAAUGUCACUGUCCAUUACUGCAGGUAGUUCAGAGUCCUGGGCUGGUAAAUUGAGAAGAGAUGAGCUGUUGGUUUUAUUUAGCAAUUUAUUUAUUAGAUAAAUCAUAUCAUCACAUUCGCAAUAUUUUACCUACUGCUGUGAAAUAACCUUUACCUGUCAGUUUGUUUACUGUAUAUUAUAUUGCACAUUUUAUUAUUCUGUGUAUAUUUUCCAAAAAAUGCAACUACAAAAUGUCCACCAGCCACAAUAAAGUAUCUAAUGAAGAUAUUUUAAAAGACUAAGGCCAUCUUCUUUUGUACAUUGUAUUGUAGGCUAUAACAUGCAUGUACUGUAUUGUGUACUGUGUAGUACUGUUUAGAGAUAGUAUAUGUAAUAAUGGAGAAAUUAAUUUAAUGUUUUCAUUUUAAUGUUUGGUCUUUUUAAUUCUCAUACUACCCUAAAAUCUACUAAAACAACUUAUUAAUUAACACUUCUAUAAAAUAUAAAAGAUGCAGUUAAUAAACAAACAGUAGCCUAUGCUACAACUAUUUAAAUAAACUGUUUCAAGAUGCCACUAAUUAUUAAUGAACUAUUAAACAUUAAUAAAUAGAGAGCAAGACAGCUGGCUGUACAUGAACAAUAUUUUAUAAGUAAGAGAAUCCAAGGCAGUACCUGAAAUCAAUGGAAAAAUAAACAGAAGCAGCAAUUCUGUAUCCUUCCACAGCAUUAUGGAGACUUUACCGGUUUGGGCUGUAUCAUCUUUGGAAAACACAGCAAAACAUAACUUUAAAUCUAUUUAAUUUUAUUUUUACAAAUUGCAAUUUACUUUUGAUUAAUCCUUUCUGACAUAACAUUUCUCUUAAGUGUGCUACUUACCAAAAUACCUGCUCAAACUUGAUUUCAGGAAAACAUCUUGCACCGCUUCUCGUCCCGGUUUUUUCAAAGGUAAUAUGGUCCCGACAGUCGUUAACCUUUCGAUAAGCACGAACGCCGGUAACAGUUUGCUGUCCAACGCACUUUUACGGAAUUCCCUUUGAUCUUUCGGUAACGACGACGCGCCGUGACACUAUCGCAUCUUUCAGCUGGAGUGUCGAAGGAGCAAAUAUCCUCAUCGCUCGCCUAUUCACGUUCCCCCACUACAAUAUACCUGUAAAGCGAUCAAUACUCUUUCGCUGGGGAUGCUCUCGGACCUACGAUUAUUGCCCAAGCCUGGAAAUACACUACUCCUAUGGGCGUGAAAUGAUGCUCUCUCUCAUUAGCCCGUGCAGCUCACCCCAUAUUGUUCCAAAUGAUAACAUGUGCAAUUACCUCUUAAAAUCAUAGAGCAUCUUUAGCCUUCAUUUGCACAUAACGCUAGAAUGAAAUCACGCCUCAGUUGUGCAUUGCAUUGAAUUUGUGUAAUGUUCCCGCAAGUUUCCCGUUUUCUGAGGGCUCUUCUGGAGUAUCUGUCAAAAACAGUAAAUGUAUGAAAUGGGCCAAUUACCAUUUUAAAAUGUUUUUUUUCCUUAGAUAUUAAACAUUGUAUCACUCUAAGAUUAGAUUAUGUUUCUGAAUUAUAAUUUAUAAUAACUAAUAGCUCUGAGAUUAUAACCAGCUGUUUGUUGUAUAAAAUGGUAUAGGCUGCCUUUUUAAAACCACCUCCUUCAUAACUUUUUAAAUAUUAUUUACAGAAAUUAGCAUCCUUUUAAUAAAAGGGAAUUAGGAUGGUAACAGGGUUUAUGCAUAAUCUGGGGACGCAACUUCAAAUCUUUUUAAUAUCAUGUCCAAUGAAAUCAAAAUAUAUAAAAUAAUUACGUACCUUUUAAUUACUGUAUUAUUUAUUAUUAUAUAAAAAUGUUUAUAUAUAUGCUAAUACAGCAUGAAAAAAUGACAAACAUAGUUAAGGUUGGUUAAAGCUUUUCAUUAUUCAACCCAUUGCAUACACAUAUGUUCAGUGACACAAAAGGCCAUUUCUUUUUUUGCUGAAACAUUUAACUGUCACGUAUAAAUUGCCAUAAAAUUAUUCAUCAUCAUGUCUGCUGAAUAAAAAGUAGGCUUAGUAAAGGUCACUGUUAGACACGCUCUAUGUGGCAAAGACCACUUAAGCAGUCCAACAAGCAGAGAGAAAUAAAAAAUGUACAUAUGAUUACUGUAUUGUGAGAUGUUAAAUUAUAGCUACAAGAUACAUGCAACUAUACAGUUACAGAGUCCAAAACACCUGCUCAAAUCAUGUCAAAAAGUGAAGCCUAUUUAGUAAUAGAGCUGUGGGGAUCCAUAAAUUAUGGGCACCGGAGCAUGGAUGGUGGGUUGUGAAUAAAAACCUCUGCAAGUCAGACUAAACAGACAUGGUGCAAAAUUACUGCUGUGAGCAGACAGUAAGCAUAUGGGUCAUGACAUGCAAACACUCAAACAUCCAGAGACACAUUUAAACACUAGGCACGCGCCUCCUCAGUGUCAGCCUAGACACUUCUGCGCAAUUACUUGUCUGAUGCUAAUUCUUUCUUUUUUUUUAUAUUACGCAUGCGCGCACACAUAACACUUGACUGUGUGAAUCCACUGCUGAUUAUUCAAACUAAAGGAAUUCAUUUUGUUUGCUGGCACAUGACUGCUUAACUUUGAAUUGAAGUCACUAUAAUUUCAAGAUCUUACAUCAUCCUUGAUAUAAACUUAUAUACAAAAUAAAUAACUAAAAUUAUUUUGUAUCAGCUAUUAUGUUUGAAAAAUUGUAAUGUGCAGGCAUAUCUCUAAAGAAAAAACAUAGUUGGAUCAGAUGUGCUUGUCAUCUGUGAUCUGCAUUUAGCUUAAAUUGAUAAGCAAUAAUAGACUACUUAACUGUGUUUUUAGCGCUUCAAGUAUCGUGUUCAAGCUUGCUGUAGACUGUGUUUAAAAUAGCACACCCUACGCAAUCACAAAUGCAUGCACACAUUUUUAGGAGACAGUGUUCAAGUCAGAGGCUUUAACAGACACAACGUUGAGGUAAAUGUGCACACACUGCUCUUCUGCUGCAGUAUAACUGCAAGAGCCUUACUUAGUUGCAAGUCUAUAACAUUAUUAGGUAUCUGUCAGAGAAAACUCUGUGUCAACGCUGCAUGUUUUAUUGAUGACUGUUGUGUUUGGUAUGUGUAAAUGAAAGUGCAUAAGUGUUAAGGCUUCAUGGUCUUGUCUUUGCCACAACAUCUUACGUCAACACAAUCUGAAGGCCCAAAGGGUGUGACAGUUCUCUCUCUUUUUCUCUCUACAUUUUUCUUUCCCACUCUGUUCAGU
rnacentral:lncRNA from 1 species